AGCCUCGUGGUGGAGUACACAUUAGAUUGCAAAUCUAGGGACGCAGAUUAAACCCUGCCGGGGUUU
rnacentral:tRNA from 2 species